rnacentral:lncRNA from 1 species
GAAUUUUUCUUGCAAAAUUCAAUGCUUGAUUUACUUAAUGUAUGGUCAAAGACUUGUUCAUUGCAAUUUUCAUUAUUGGACAAUAGUGAUAAUCCAGUUAUUCUGGCUAUAGUUCAAGAGAGAAUACCCAGUGAUGUAGCUAGGAAUGGCAAAAGGGAGCAGUCUAUCCUGGAUGUCAUAUUUUUUGGAGCAGCAUUUUUGGCAUUAAAAAAUUUUUUAACAUUGUUUUAAUAAUAAAAAAAGUAAACUAGUGUCAACUAAAUGAUCAUGGUGACAUUAAUGAAGCAUAAUUCCUUGUUGAAAGAAAAAAGGCUUCAAAAUUUUAUUUCAAUAUUCUCUAUUCAAGAUCAAACAGAAACUUGGAAAGAAGGUGAAGGCCCUCUUGAACUUUUAAAAUUUAUACAAAAAUAUAGGCUGAAAAACUCCAUUCCCAUUGUUCUCAACAAACUCACAUUUUUAUAAUAUUAAGAAUUUUUUUUAACAAUUGCAAUCAAUGUCAUUAAUUGCAAAAGGUG